GGCAGACGGCUCAGUAACACGUAGUCAACCUACCCUAUGGACGAGAAUAAUCUCGGGAAACUGAGCAUAAUUCUUGAUAGAUCAUAAUGCCUGGAAUGGUUUAUGGUUAAAAUGAUUCGUCGCCAUAGGAUGGGACUGCGGCCUAUCAGCUUGUUGGUGAGGUAAUGGCCCACCAAGGCGAUUACAGGUACGGGCUCUGAGAGGAGAAGCCCGGAGAUGGGUACUGAGACACGGACCCAGGCCCUAUGGGGCGCAGCAGGCGAGAAAACUUUGCAAUGUGCGAAAGCACGACAAGGUUAAUCCGAGUGAUUUCUGCUAAAGAAAUCUUUUGC
rnacentral:rRNA from 1 species